AUGGCGCGCCGACCCAGAAGCCGCCACGGUUCGCCAAGAUCGACUUCGCCACUUAUGACUUGGGAGCGCUUCCGCGAGCUCUGCCUCCUUCGUUUUGGGCCCCCGAUCCGCGGGAGCCGCCUGGAGGAGCUCGGCCGCCUUCCCUUCACCUCCACGGUGCAGGACUACGCCGACCAUUUCCAGGCCCUGGCAUGCCAUGCGUCGGGUGUGACGGCGCAACAGCGGGCCGACCUCUUUGUCGGUGGACUUCCGGAUCACAUCCGCGUGGACGUGGAGCUUCGGGGACCCCAGGAUCUCUAG
rnacentral:rRNA from 1 species